AACCCGUUGGUUUUUUUCACAUUCACUGUUCAAAAACAAUGGCGCAAGCUUCCGGUGCUUUCUGUGAUAGAGAUGAUCAACAAUUCUACGAAACUGCAAGUUCCAUCAUAUCGAUGAUGUUUUUGUUUCCGGUUUCAGAAAGAAAUGUUAUCAAGGAGUGGCUGAAUGCGUUAUACCAAAUGGGAGACUGCAAACCAGACAAGCAGAUGCGUAAUCGAUAUGCUUCCUUCCUAUUGAUGCAACUGGAGGUUAACCGUGGCCUUUCGGCUCCCUUCGAUAAAUCUCCACCAGGACGCAUCCACCAACAGCUUCACAAAAUUCUGGACGUAAACGAGUACAUCGGCUUUUUCGAGAAAUGUGAAAAAUUUUACUUGCUGACGUCCACUGAGAAUCCACGGGAGCCAUCACAGCCGGAUGGAGUAAGAAUCAAGCCGUCGGAUUUCUUGUACAAAUUUCCAUCCAUCCAUACCGGAAUCAAAACGUAUGGCGCCUGCUUCAGCAAUGAUGAUGGCAGCCAAUGACCGAUGUCUUACUGUUGGUGCAUAAUUGCUUCGCAGUUCCGCUCAAGACCAACAGUCGAAAACGGGUGCUUAGUUUUGGAUUGAUAUCACGUAUUUCUCCAGGUAAUCUCACCACCUGUUUUUGCAUUCAACUAUGCGAAACACAAAACUUGCGAAACAGAAAGAUUGUGUGUGUGGGAGUCAACCUUCUUUAUUGUUGAGUUGAGACAUUAUAACGUUAUCGAAUAAUGAAUAUAAAUUGGCGUGAAAAAUUAAAAACCGAGCUAGCUCAUUUUCUUCCGGGCUGCCGUUCCGCAUCGGAGGCAUCGUUAAUCGCUCCUGGGCAAGAAAUCUGGUUCAAGUCUUCUUUCGAGUCCUAUGUACCAACAUCUGCAUAAUCGGCACCCGAUUGUUCUUCACCACAAGAAGAAACGUUACAGUUGCUGUCGCUGGCCUCGGGCGAAAAGUUCAACAUUCAACCUUGCUGCUGUGUCCUGGAAUAAUUUCUUCUCCGAACAACGCUCAAAAUGACAAAAAAGAGGGAAGAAGAUUGCUCCCCCACAUUCUCAGGAUCUCGGGGUGGGACCGGAGCCAUCAACCGUUUUGCCAUUUCUAGCCCCGGAGGCAAAUUAAGCUGUUAUCAAAUUAUCAUUCACUUCACAACAAUAGAGCAGCACUGACUGGGCCUGGUGGAUGGCGAUUCGAAAUCUAGGGCACUCUCGACAUCGAAUGAGAGGGAUUUAGGCAAGCAAGGGUUGUAGGU